rnacentral:rRNA from 1 species
UAUUGGACAAUGGGCGAAAGCCUGAUCCAGCCAUGCCGCGUGUGUGAAGAAGGUCUUCGGAUUGUAAAGCACUUUAAGUUGGGAGGAAGGGCAUUAACCUAAUACGUUAGUGUUUUGACGUUACCGACAGAAUAAGCACCGGCUAACUCUGUGCCAGCAGCCGCGGUAAUACAGAGGGUGCAAGCGUUAAUCGGAAUUACUGGGCGUAAAGCGCGCGUAGGUGGUUUGUUAAGUUGGAUGUGAAAUCCCCGGGCUCAACCUGGAACUGCAUUCAAAACUACUACAGAGAUGGAGAGGGUGGUGGAAUUUCCUGUGAGCGGUAAAUGCGAGUUGAAGAACACCAGUGGCGAGGCGCCACCUGGCAAAUCUGCUCUGAUGAGAUCAA